rnacentral:rRNA from 1 species
GACGAACGCUGGCGGCGUGCCUAAUACAUGCAAGUAGAACGCUGAAGGAGGAGCUUGCUUCUCUGGAUGAGUUGCGAACGGGUGAGUAACGCGUAGGUAACCUGCCUGGUAGCGGGGGAUAACUAUUGGAAACGAUAGCUAAUACCGCAUAAUAGUAGAUGUUGCAUGACAUUUGCUUAAAAGGUGCAAUUGCAUCACUACCAGAUGGACCUGCGUUGUAUUAGCUAGUUGGUGGGGUAACGGCUCACCAAGGCGACGAUACAUAGCCGACCUGAGAGGGUGAUCGGCCACACUGGGACUGAGACACGGCCCAGACUCCUACGGGAGGCAGCAGUAGGGAAUCUUCGGCAAUGGACGGAAGUCUGACCGAGCAACGCCGCGUGAGUGAAGAAGGGUUUCGGAUCGUAAAGCUCUGUUGUAAGGGAAGAACGAGUGUGAGAGUGGAAAGUUCACACUGUGACGGUAUCUUACCAGAAAGGGACGGCUAACUACGUG